CCUAUUUGUUAAGCCCAAGCCUGGGACGGAACCCCUCUUCCAAUUCCGGCCACCUAUGAUCGACGGAUCACCGGUGUUAGGACCAUCUCGACGUUGUGACUAAGCCUAUAGCUGAGGUUUCCACCGACGAGCUCCGACGAAGCCGAUUUGAAACAGAGAAGUUUCUGCGGUUUUCUUGGAGCUUUCCGGCGACUAUGGUGGCCGAUGACGACAUGCAAGGAUUGGAGUUUUGGAUGCAAAGCAUGUUGAUCAUCGUCCAGGCUCUGGGAAGAUAGAGUUACUGUUGCCUUCGUUUCAUUGUUCCAACCAAUAUCAACUUGAUAGAAUUUGGAUGCAGAAACGCAAGCAAGUAUGCACAACCAAGGUAAAUUCCAUGUCUUAAAAAUGAGUGUGGUGUGGUUGUUAAUUGUCUUGAAUUAAUGGAUUUGGAAUCUGAGUAUAUAAUGGUUGAGUGGGUAUUGUUAACGUGAUUGAGAUUUGGAAAGGAAGUUGUUGGUUUGGAGGAAAUUGUCGUUAUCAAUGGAUAAUGAUCUGGGAAAGUCGAAACCUUGUGUACUAUUUGUUUUAGAAUACAAGGUUAACCAAUUGAAGUUGGUUAUAGGAAACAAUAUAUUUUUCCUUAGUUGAAUUUAUUAGUGGGUGUCCAUAGUAGUUAAAAUGAAUUGCAUGCUUACUGUUGGUAUUGGUGGGUUGCAAUUGGUUCAUUUACUUUGAAAUUGAUUAAGCUUAUCAGUGGUGCAUUAAGAGCUUGGAGAAUUUUCAACAAUAUCAUCCGGAAGCUACUAGGAAAAAGAAAAGGCCUAUGACCAAAUGGCAAUGUCCACCUCGUGGGAGACUGAAGAUAAAUAUUGAUGGGGCUUUUAGAGCUGAUUGUGGGAUUGGAGGAAUUGGGGUGGCGGUCAGAGAUGAAUUGGGCACGGGUAUUGCCGCUAUUGCAAGGCCUUUUCUGCAUGCACACUCAGCCAUUAAUAUGGAAGCUGAGGCGUGCAGAGCUGGUCUUCUUCUUGGUAUUCACCAAGGUUGGACAUAAAUUGACAUUGAGAGCGAUUCUACCCUUCUGAUUGCUGCACUCAAUUCUGAGGAGGAUAAUUUCUCGGAGGGACUCCAGUUACCCAGAUUAUGAAAAGUGGUGGUGUUGGCCUAGGAAAGCAAAUGGAGUCAAAGCUGCAAUAUUCCAGGUAAGGGAUUCUUGACUUGCCUUAGUUAGUGGUUUUCUGUUUUAUAAUGUGUAUGUAUGAGUCAUUUUAUUUUAAGUUGAAAGAUACUUUAGUGCACCUAACUAUGCUAGCAAAUGAGUAUGUUGUGAUGGCUUGAGAGUGAAGGGUGGCACUGACUUCCUAGGUUUCUAUCCCCUUAACCUUCGGAGGGCUAGUUACGCCGGUCGUUCGGGUAUUCCGAUCGUAAUGACGGACUCGGUACGUGUGUGUAGCUAGGUAGCAGAUGCUCUCGCUAAGCUUACCUGGUGAUUUCUUGAUAUGAGUUUGUGGAUGCAGGUACUCUGUGCGGAGACGGGACAGCUGGACGAACACUGAGCUUGGCCUGGUCACUUGAUUCCUUAAAUUGUGUCAUUGUCGGAGUUUGUUCCGCGGGACAUGUUUUCUGAUUUUCCCUAGUUUUGCAUAACUCAUUUAAAGAGUUCUGAAUUGUGCAUGAAUUGUAUCUCUUCUGAAAUCUUGGACUUCCGACUAUGAACCGGACCAAUAGUCAUGUAUUGCUAUUUCCGAUUUUGAAUGACUGGUGCUUGUUUUAUUAGAACUUUCAACAUUUAAAAAAGGGUUUUCACCUCAU